rfam:Candidatus Baumannia cicadellinicola strain B-GSS, complete genome.
GGUUAAGUGAAUAAGCGUAUACGGUGGAUGCCUAGACAGUCAGAGGCGAUGAAGGACGUGCUAAUCUGCGAAAAGCGUCGGUAAGCUGAUAGGAAGCAUUAUCAACCGACGAUUUCCGAAUAGGAAAACCUGAUGCAGCAAUAAGCAAUUAUAAUGCAUCAUUAUUAAGUAAAUUCAUAGCUUAAUAAAGCAAACCAGGAGAACUGAAACAUCUAAGUAUCCUGAGGAAAAAAAAUCAACUGAGAUUCCCUUAGUAGUGGCGAGCGAACGGGGAACAGCCUAGAGUUAUCAGCAGUAUAAAUAUCAGAAAAAUGGUCUGGAAAGUCCAGCAAUAUAAGGUGAUAGCCCUGUAUUUAAAGUUAUUUAUUCUGUGAACUCAAAAAGUAGGACGAGACACGUGGUAUCUUGUCUGAAGAUGGGGGGCCCAUCCUCCAAGGCUAAAUACUACUGACUGAUCGAUAGUGAACUAGUACCGUAAGGGAAAGGUGAAAAGAACCCCGGUAAGGGGAGUGAAAUAGAACCUGAAACCGUAUACGUACAAGCAGUAGAAGCAUGAUAAGUUAUUGUUAUGAUGUAACUGCGUACCUUUUGUAUAAUGGGUCAGCGACUUAUAUUCUGUAGCAAGGUUAACCGAAUAGGGGAGCCGAAGGGAAACCGAGUCUUAACUGGGCGUUAAGUUGCAGGAUAUAGACCCGAAACCCGGUGAUCUAGCCAUGAGCAGAUUGAAGGUUAGGUAACACUAACUGAAGGAUCGAACCGACUAAUGUUGAAAAAUUAGCGGAUGACUUGUGGCUAGGGGUGAAAGGCCAAUCAAACCGGGAGAUAGCUGGUUCUCCCCGAAAGCUAUUUAGGUAGCGCCUCGUGAAUUCAUCUUUGGGGGUAAAGCACUGUUUCGGCUAGGGGUCCAAAUUGGAUUACUAAACCAAUGCAAACUAAGAAUACUAAAGAAUGUUAUCACGGGAGACACACGAUGGGUGCUAACGUCCAUCGUGAAAAGGGAAACAACCCAGACCGCCAGCUAAGGUCCCUAAGUCAUAGUUAAGUGGAAAACGAUGUGGGAAGUCAUAAACAACCAGGAUGUGGGCUUAGAAGCAGCCAUCAUUUAAAGAAAGCGUAAUUGCUCACUGGUCGAGUCGGCCUGCGCGGAAAAUGUAACGGGGCUAAAUUAUGCACCGAAGCUGCGGCAGCAAAAUAAUUUUUAUAUUAAAUAAAAAUAAUUUGUUGGGUAGGGGAGCGUUCUGUAAGCCUGUGAAGGAAAGUUGUAAAAUUUUCUGGAGGUAUCAGAAGUGCGAAUGCUGACAUAAGUAACGAUAAAGCGGGUAAAAAACCCGCUCGCCGAAAGACUAAGGGUUCCUGUUCAACGGUAAUCGGAGCAGGGUAAGUCGACUCCUAAGGCGAGGCCGAAAGGCGUAGUCGAUGGGAAACAGGUUAAUAUUCCUGUACUUUAUAUAAUUGCGAAGGGGGGACGAAAAAAGCUAGGUCCGCCAGAGAACGGUUGUUCUGGUUUAAGCGUGUAGGUGAGAAAAGCAGGCAAAUCCACUUUUCUAUAACACUAAGGCGUGAUGACAAAAUCAUUUCGAUGAUAAAGGGAUUAAUGCUAUAUUUCCAAGAAAAGCCUCUAAGCUUAAGAUUAUAUAGAAUCGUACCUCAAACCGACACAGGUAGUCAUGUAGAGAAUACUAAGGCGCUUGAGAGAACUCGGGUAAAGGAACUAGGCAAAAUGGUGCCGUAACUUCGGAAGAAGGCACGCUGACAUGUAAGUUAUAGGAUUUACUCCUAACGCUGAAGUCAGUCGCAGAUACCAGCUGGCUGCAACUGUUUAUUAAAAACACAGCACUGUGCAAACACGAAAGUGGACGUAUACGGUGUGACGCCUGCCCGGUGCCGGAAGGUUAAUUGAUAGAGUAAAUAGCUCUUGAUCGAAGCCCCGGUAAACGGCGGCCGUAACUAUAACGGUCCUAAGGUAGCGAAAUUCCUUGUCGGGUAAGUUCCGACCUGCACGAAUGGCGUAAUGAUGGCCAGACUGUCUCUACCCGAGACUCAGUGAAAUUGAAUUUGCCGUGAAGAUGCGGUAUACCCGUGGCAAGACGGAAAGACCCCGUGAACCUUUACUAUAGCUUGAUACUGAAUAUUUUGCUUUAAUGUGUAGGAUAGGUGGGAGGCUUUUAAUGUAGACUAAAAUCUACAUAAAGCCGUCCUUGAAAUACCACCCUUUAAUGUUUGAUAUUCUAACUCUAGUCCGUUAUCCGGACUGAGAACAGUGUCUGGUGGGUAGUUUGACUGGGGCGGUCUCCUCCCAAAGAGUAACGGAGGAGCACAAAGGUUAGCUAAUUACGGUUAGAUAUCGUAAGGUUAGUGCAAAGGCAUAAGCUAGCUUAACUGCAAGAGUGACGAUUCAAGCAGAUGCGAAAGCAGGUCUUAGUGAUCCGGUGGUUCUAAAUGGAAGGGCCAUCGCUCAACGGAUAAAAGGUACUCCGGGGAUAACAGGCUAAUACCGCCCAAGAGUUCAUAUCGACGGCGGUGUUUGGCACCUCGAUGUCGGCUCAUCACAUCCUGGGGCUGAAGUAGGUCCCAAGGGUAUGGCUGUUCGCCAUUUAAAGUGGUACGCGAGCUGGGUUUAGAACGUCGUGAGACAGUUCGGUCCCUAUCUGCCAUGGGCGUUGGAAGAUUGAGAGGGGCUGCUCCUAGUACGAGAGGACCGGAGUGGACGCACCGCUGGUGUUCGGGUUGUCAUGCCAAUGGCAUUGCCCGGUAGCUACGUGCGGAAAAGAUAACCGCUGAAAGCAUCUAAGUGGGAAACUUGCCUCAAGAUGAGUCUUCCCUGAGGUAAAAACCUCCUAAAGGGACGUUAAAGACGAUAACGUUGAUAGGUCAGAUGUGUAAGCGCUGUGAGGCGUUGAGCUAACUGAUACUAAUGACCCGUGAGACUUAACCUU